GGGCCCGCACAAGCGGUGGAGCAUGUGGUUUAAUUCGAUGCAACGCGAAGAACCUUACCUGGUCUUGACAUACACAGAAUCUUGUAGAGAUACGAGAGUGCCUUCGGGAAUUGUGAUACAGGUGCUGCAUGGCUGUCGUCAGCUCGUGCUGUGAGGUGUCGGGUUAAGUCCCAUAACGAGCGCAACCCCUAUCCUUAGUUGCCAGCGAGUAAUGUCGGGGACUCUAGGGAAACUGCCGGUGCAAACCGUGAGGAAGGUGGGGAUGACGUCAAAUCAUCACGGCCCUUACGACCAGGGCUACACACGUGCUACAAUGGUAGGUACAGAGGGCAGCUACACAGCGAUGUGAUGCGAAUCUCAAAAGCCUAUCGUAGUCCGGAUUGGAGUCUGCAACUCGACUCCAUGAAGUCGGAAUCGCUAGUAAUCG
rnacentral:rRNA from 1 species